rnacentral:misc_RNA from 1 species
CUUCAAAUCUCAUCCUACUCUUUUCACUUCUCUUUCUUAUUUGUUAGCUCCUAACUGCAGGCCCAAUAAGCCCAACAAUGGGUGACCCAUCAGAGGUUCACUUUCAUUUGAUCAUUUAGUGCUUUCCUUCCUUUUACUUAUAUACUAUACAUGACUUUAUACAAGUCUCCAUUAAGGGGGUGCCAUUAAGAACCUUAAGUAUCUUUCUACAAGUUUCCCAUUUG